GUACAAAGAGAAACGCGACGGAAAGUCCGAAAAAUUUCCUCCGAAGGCAGAGGUCACAGGUUCGAAUCCUGUCGGGUGCGCCA
rnacentral:tRNA from 1 species